CCACACAUUCACAUGUUUUUCUCCCCUUUCGUGCCUCCUCGUCACUUUUCCUCCCUCCCUCGCCUUUCUUCCAACGUUCUUGCUCCACAGUUUCUUUGUUCCCUUGUGAAUUUGUGAACCAUUGAGGCCAUCUGUCGGGGGAAGAUGCUCGGCGAGGAGCUGCACUAACAGAGAAUGGGGCGGAGCAACUCCGGGGGUUGCAUUUCAUCCCAUUCCCAAGGCGCGGAGGCGACGGCGGCCGAGGCAAGCGUGGUCGGGGAAAUCUGCUUGAUGAUUUUCCCAAGGGAAGCAUCGGGAAGAAAUUCUGAUCGCCGGAGAAGAGAUCGCCUGAUUCUCGUAGAGAAGGCAUGCCGAGUCGUCUAGCCCCGUCGCCAAGUUCAUCAGAGGACUCAAGCGAUGGUCAGUCCAAUCGUUCCAAGUCCAAGGCCCCUCCACCCCGACGGUCGUCGAGAUCAUCCGGCUCUUCGUCAGAUGAGAAUGGCGACGACUCGUCUAGUCCAUCUCGAUCAUCUCAAGACGACGACGAUGGAGGCUCGAGGUCCUCCUCGUCAUCCUCGGAUUCGCAAGAUUCAUCUCCCUCGGAUUCUCAAGAUUCAUCUCCCUCUGAUUCAAAAGGAUCGCAGUCCUCUCGUCGGUCCCCUCCACCAUCGAAAUCAUCCCCGUCGCCGUCUUCCUCGCCCUCCCGGCCUUCCAGUUCCCGGAAGGGAGGAAAUUCCGACUCUUCAUCUCCGCCACCGUCUGACGAGUCUUCCGGGGACGGCGAAGAUAACGACUCUUCGUCGUCGCCGACAUGGUCAUCGCCUCCGGAAGAAUCGGAAGACUCAGAGCCUUCUCCGUCUCCAUCCUCCUCUAGGAGCCCUCCGCCUCGCUCAUCUCCAUCCCCGCCGCCGGGAUGGAGUGAUAACGAUGACCAAGCAGGUUCUCGGCCUCCUGAGGGCAGCCAGUCACCUCCUUCUCCUUCUCCUCCUCCUCCUCCGGCGCCGGCGAACCAUUCGGUGGUGUUUAUCCCUGUAGUAAAUAGCCAUCCCGGAGCACCGCCGGCGCUUGUCUCCAUCGCACCCCCUGGUACCGUCGGUUUGAUGUCUACUCACCUCCCAGGAGCACAAGGCGCCGCUGGGGCUGGCGGCAUGCAGGCUGCAGCUGCAGGUUCGUCAGCCAGCACAUCGAGUACUAAUGGUGCUGGUGGAAGCGCAGCUUCUUCGUCUGCACAGCAGCUCCACUCAUCACAAGCAAUAAAUGGCCAGGUAGCGGCCGCCAUUGCAGGCGCUUCCGUUGCCGGCUUGCUGUUCAUCAUCGUAGCCAUCUUCUUCAUCGUGACGAGGAAGAGGAGGAAGAUGAUGGAGGGAAUGGUCUAUCACUCGGAUGGGAGCCGGAGCUACUACAUGCACUCGGGCCAGCUCGUGGGCUCCAACCACCCGUCGUCGGGGGUGUUCUACGGGCCGCCGCCGCCGGGAUCGUCCGGCGGGUUCUCCUACGGCCCUCUGGCGACGCCGGGGCCUCCGGGCUCCACGGACAGCUUCAGAGGAACAGGGUACUACCCGUCGGGCAGCAUGGAGCAGCCGCCGGGGAACAAGUCGUCCUUCAGCUACGAGGAGCUGACAAGCAUCACCAGCAACUUCUCACGCGACAACGUGAUCGGCGAGGGCGGGUUCGGGUGCGUGUACAAGGGGUGGCUCGCCGACGGCAAGUGCGUGGCCGUGAAGCAGCUUAAGGCCGGCAGCGGGCAGGGGGAGCGCGAGUUCCAGGCGGAGGUGGAGAUCAUCAGCCGCGUCCACCACCGCCACCUCGUCUCCCUCGUCGGCUACUGCGUCGCGCAGCACCACCGAAUGCUCAUCUACGAGUUCGUCCCCAACGGCACCCUCGAGCACCAUCUGCACGGCCGCGGCGUGCCGAUGAUGGACUGGUCGACGAGGCUGAGGAUCGCCAUCGGCGCGGCCAAGGGGUUAGCUUAUCUUCAUGAAGAUUGUCACCCGCGGAUCAUCCACAGGGACAUCAAGUCGGCCAACAUCCUGCUCGAUUACUCGUUUGAAGCACAGGCACGAACUUAUAACAGAUGAGUUUAUUUUUCUGUUUCUCAUCUGGAAUUUGAAAUGCAGGUUGCCGAUUUCGGGCUGGCCAAGCUCUCCAACGACACCCACACGCCCGUGUCGACGCGCAUCAUGGGCACCUUCGGGUACCUCGCCCCGGAGUACGCGUCCAGCGGGAAGCUAACGGACCGGUCAGACGUCUUCUCCUUCGGCGUGGUGCUGCUGGAGCUCAUCACCGGCCGGAAGCCCGUCGACCAGGACCGGCCGCUUGGGGAGGAGAGCCUCGUCGAAUGGGCUCGGCCGGUUCUCGCCGACGCAAUCGAGACCGGCAACCACGGCGAGCUGGCCGACCCGCGGCUGGAAGGCAGAUACAACAAGGCCGAGAUGGUGAGGAUGGUGGAGGCCGCUGCCGCGUGCGUCCGCCACUCGGCUCCCAGGCGUCCCCGCAUGGUGCAGGUGAUGAGGGCGCUGGACGUGGACGUGGACGAGGGGAGCAUGUCGGACCUGAGCAACGGGGUGAAGGUGGGGCAGAGCCAGGUGUUCAACAACAGCCAGCAGGAGGCCGCCCUGGAGCAGCUCCGGCGGACGGCCUUCGCCACCGAGGAGCUCACGGGGGAGUUCGAACUGUCCGGGGAGUACAGUGCCGCCGUCAAUACCAUGAACCAGCCGCGGGCCGCGGGGUGACAGUCGACCAACAUGUUUGUGUGUCUCUUGUAGCUAAAACUUUCUCUUUUUUUUUCCUUUUCUUGUAUAUCGACCGCCUCUGGUUUAGAGGGCUUCAACGUUGAGUACAUGAAUGACAACCGUGAGAAUGUGC